GAUGAACGCUGGCGGCGUGCUUAACACAUGCAAGUCGAACGAUGAAGCCCAGCUUGCUGGGUGGAUUAGUGGCGAACGGGUGAGUAACACGUGAGUAACCUGCCCUUAACUCUGGGAUAAGCCUGGGAAACUGGGUCUAAUACCGGAUAGGAGCGUCCACCGCAUGGUGGGUGUUGGAAAGAUUUAUCGGUUUUGGAUGGACUCGCGGCCUAUCAGCUUGUUGGUGAGGUAAUGGCUCACCAAGGCGACGACGGGUAGCCGGCCUGCGAGGGUGACCGGCCACACUGGGACUGAGGCACGGCCCAGACUCCUACGGGAGGCAGCAGUGGGGAAUAUUGCACAAUGGGCGCAAGCCUGAUGCAGCGACGCCGCGUGAGGGAUGACGGCCUUCGGGUUGUAAACCUCUUUCAGUAGGGAAGAAGCGAAAGUGACGGUACCUUCAGAAGAAGCACCGGCUAACUACGUG
rnacentral:rRNA from 1 species